rnacentral:rRNA from 1 species
GACGAACGCUGGCGGCGUGACCUAAAACAUGCAAGUCGAACGGUGUAAGCAAUUACACAGUGGCGAACGGCGGAGUAAUACAUAAGCAACGUGCCCCGAAGACUGGGAUAGCCAGCCGAAAGGCUGAGUAAUACCGGAUGUGGCCCUCUUUUGGCAUCUUAAGAGGAUUAAAUGGUUUUCGCUUCGGGAGCGGCUUAUGGCCUAUCAGGUAGUUGGUGAGGUAACGGCUCACCAAGCCGACGACGGGUAGCGGGUCUGAGAGGACGAUCCGCUCGAGUGGGACUGAGACACGGCCCACACACCUACGGGUGGCAGCAGUUGGGAAUCUUGCACAAGUGGGGGAAACCCUGAU